rnacentral:sRNA from 1 species
ACAUCCGUUCAACCACCAAGCCUGAGAGUCCGUAAAUUAACAGCACCCAGACACUGGUGUUUCCGGGAAACUUCCAGUUGAGGUUAACCACAAAUUCCCAGAGGGCGGUAAACAUAAUCUCUGUGACGUAUCCAUGGACGGCGUACACGUAGAAACGCCACCAGAUGGAGAUUGGCUUUACCUCUGAUUCGCUGCCAGACAUCUGUAAAAUACAAGUGAAUAUUGUAAACUAUUAGAUAACAAAUGUUUUUGAUAUAAAUUGCAUGAGCUCUAUCAUUGAUAGAGCUCAAUGGCUCAUUUUAUAUAUGUGCGAAUCUUACAAAGUUACACAACACUGAAUGACAGACAAUCAUAAUCUGACAUAGGUCUUGGGUUUUCCCCCAGUUAUGAAGGGUAAUCGUGUUCAAAAAUCCAGACACGUUAUAACUUGUAAAUCCGAAUAUGCAAUCAUGUUGGUGUGCGAGUCUGAGGAUUAAAGUGUGUAUUUCUGAUCGUGUAACCUAUACAACUCGGGUAUAAACACAUGAAAGAUUUGACUAGUAACAGUCUGAGUAAAUCAAAAAUAUCGAAAUACCACCAACAUUUUAAUGAAAUAAAGUAUGGAGUCGGACGUUCUGUCUGAACUUGGCCAUGAGAUAGUUUCUAUGAAUUUUAAUUAUACAAGUCCCUUUCAAUAAAUUGCAAUGAUCAUCAGGUCUAAUUACCCAGUAUCUGCACGGAUGUUAAAAGCAUUUCUAAUCUAUUCGUAAGCUAAUAACAUAUUUGCAGUGUUGGGGUAUCAAAGUCCAACCUACGAAAUUUACAUAGGCCUUGGAUGUCCUUAUAUAUAAUUUCAUGUCAUUAUUCAAAUCUGACUCGGUCAAAGUUUCGUAGCAGUGAGGUAGGAUGUAAAUAGCAGUUUCUAAGUAUAUAUAAUAACUGUCCAAUAAUGAAGACCCCCUCCCCCUUUUCCAUAUCUAUAUAGUCAUUUAAAAAUACAGGCCUACAUAUAUAUACGAAUUAUAUAAUGUAUUUGAAAUUGUCAAGGGCAUUUAAUUUUUAACUUAAUAAUGGAUUGUCGCGAUAAUGCUCAAACAUGCCGCAUAUUACAUAGAUACAGAUCAUUGAAAUCCACGAUUGUUUAGGUUACUCAUAAACAAUAAUGUAUAAAUUGUACAUUGUAUAACAGUAUAGAUCUAUAUAAUAUUUCCCGGUAAUGCCCACUCGAUCAUUACACAGUCUCUUGAUGUAAAAACAUUUCUAUUAAAUGGUGUGCAAAGAUUAAUAUCUUCCUAUAUCUAUUAUAAUAUACAAGUUGUACACCAUCGCCUACGGGGUUUUCAUACAAACAAGGUCCAAAAUAAUGUUAUAAUUAAAGCUUGCUAAGGUAAGGUAACGGUUACAUUUACAUUACGCUAAGCCCGUUCGUAGCCAAAGCGACCAAGUAAUUUUAAAUAUUAACUGAUUCACUUUCUCUCUGUAUAAUAAUUUAGGUAUAGAUUGAUUAUUGAUACAAGUGAAACAGUAAAUACAUACUUUGUAUUCAUAAACACCUGGUAAACAUGAAUGCAAUAGAUCUGGUAUACUGCGUGUCCGAUGUAAACACAAGCGAGGAAGAGUAAACGUUAGAAAAAAAUCGGAGAACUACAAUAUUUCCGGAGUGUCAUGCCUAUCUUUAAAAAAA